rnacentral:misc_RNA from 1 species
UCCUUUCCGAUCAUUGCCAUCACAGUUGCUUUCAGACCGCCGCGUGUGUGCUGCCGCGAGCAAGCGCCGCUGCGUUUUCAUACAGGGCUGCCUGCACCUCACCCCUUCCCACUCCUCUCCCCCCCUCCCCAUUUCUCUUUAUACAGUACGUCUGCCAUACAUGCAAACUUCUCUUCGCUUGCAUAAACAGUUUUGCUCACACGCACACCACCAAUUACUGUUCUCUUCUCCCCCGUUCUGCCGGCGUCGCCAGCCCCCGCCUCCCCCACCUCGCCGUUCUCGUUCAUACGUGCGCGUGUCCUUGUGCUUUGUUUGCUUUCCUGCGCCUGCCCUCCGUUCCUCUACUGCUUCCUCCGUCUCACUCGUCGAUUCACGUAUUGGCUACCACCCUGCACUGACUUGUCUUACGGGUCGCCGCAGCGCUGCCUCGUUUGAUCGGCGGCGAGCACCUUGGAACUGCUGUGUGUGUGUGUUUUCCUUCUUUCAUUCCUGUGCUUUGUGGAUCUCUUGCCACCCACACGAUGAUGGAGCACCCCGCCGCAGUGGAGGAGGGAGAGAAGAAAAACAGCAGCAGCAUCUCGUACGCAACCCCGUGGGUCGCCAACGGGCUGUCGUGGGCAAAUCAGCCCAACAAGCCCUUCCGCCUGGCCAUCUCGUCCUACACUAAGGACUAUCGCAACUACGUUGACAUUGUAGAGAAGAAUGAGGACAACGAGAUCGUCUGCCGUGCCUCCUGGGAGCACUGCUACCCUCCGACCAAGGUUUCCUUCCCGCCGCGCCCUCUGCAAUCCGAUGUUGUGAUCACCACCGCAGACUAUUUGCGUCUGUGGGAAAUCACCGAGGGUGGCCCAAAGGCAGAAAAGACAGCCUCCACCCGUGGUGACCCGCAGCACGCAGCGAAGGCCAAAACGAUCAACUCUAAGGUGACGAUGAAGCGCGUCUUCGACAGCGCAAAGCCGAACGACUUUUGCUCGCCAGUGACCUCGUGCGACUGGAACAGCGAAGACAUCAACACUGUGGCGUGCUGCAGCAUCGACUCCACGGUAACGCUGUGGGACGUGGAGACGGGGGCGCAAAAGACGAAGUUGGUGGCGCACGACAAAGAUGUCUAUGACAUUGCCUUUGCCUCUGCUCACACCUUUGCCAGCUGCGGCGCUGACGGCUCUGUGCGCUUCUUUGAUCUGCGUAACAUGGAUCACUGUACUAUUCUCUACGAGACGCAAGGGCUCUCUCCGCUGCUGCGCCUGGCCUGGAAUCAGUUUGACCCCUACUUCAUCGCCACCUUCGGCAUUGAUAGUCCUGACGCAGUAGUGAUUGACAUGCGCUAUCCCACGGUGCCGGCCUCCCAGCUCUCCCAGCUGCAUCAACUGCCCAUUAACAAUCUCACAUGGUCGCCACAAAACGCGCAGAACAUCUGCACGGUGGGCGAGGAUGGUCUGGUGUGUGUGUGGGAGGCUAGGGCGGAAAAAGGUCGCUCCAUCUUAUGGUGCGACUGCGAGGUGCCCAUCAACAAUGUGGCGUGGCGCCGUGCCCAAAACGAAGACUGGAUGGCCAUUACCACCUCGAAGGGCGCUCAGCUGCUGCCGUUGUAGUUGACCACGCGCCGCUUCCGAGUGAUGCGGUUUUACAGUUGUAAAUGCAUAGAGCGAGAAAGGGACAGGUGUGCCGCACCUCUCGGCGAUGACAGCCGCCUCUCGGCUGCGCGUCCGCGUUCUCUUUCAGUAUCACUGUCAACGCUGUGUACGUAUGCUAUAUUGUUGUCUUUUUUUUUCUUGGGUCUCUGCUCGUUAUGCAACGAAGAGCCACUCUCUCUCCCUCUUGAGGCGUCAGCUUCUGCCUCUUCUCCGCUGCACUCGAAUGUACGUGGCAAUGGCGUGCGCUGCGUCAGUGUAAGUUCCUUGCCUGCGUAGUUAUCUCUUUUUAUAAAUGAUGUGUAUGAGUAUGCGUGUGCGUGCGCGUUUACUUUCUCUUCUAUGCGGCUACAAACGCACGCUGUUGUGUGAGCGAGAGCUAGAGUGGAAAAGGGGAGGUGUUACCGUUGCAGCUUGGGCACUCUUUGGGGUGCAACACUCAUUCAGCUUUUUGGCAACACGAUUAGCUAAAACACCAUCGUGCAGGACAACUUCGAGAAAGCAUAGUGCAGCCGACAAGCAUGUUGUGGUGGAAAGGCAGGGCAGAGCCGCACAACGGCUGUAGCUUUACAAACGGCACCACAACCCCUGUGAUGAGACUUACAAACCCAACAAAAAAAUGCGUCACCUUUCCCGCCCUCCUUUCGCUUUUUAUUUUGGUUACUGAUGUUAUGGUGAGACGCUCCCCCGUCCCCCCCC